rnacentral:rRNA from 1 species
GCUCGAGUUUGUUCACUCAUGUUUUGCUUUUGGCUGGCGCGCCACUGAGAGAUUAUGGUGGCGUUUGGUUUGAGGGCGGCGAGAGAUUGGUUAAGGAUAUCCGUAACCACGUGUUUGGGGAUAACUGAUUUUUCUGUUUGGUUGUAAGGAUGGGAGGUGGAAGGAUAGCCAGGAUUAUUUGUUUGGUUGCAUGGAUAAGAUGUGGAUGGAUUGUCUAUAAUUGGGCAAAUAUACAUCAAGAAAAUAAACUACAUACACACAUGUGUACAUCAAUUAUACCACACAUACAUCAAUUAUACCACACACAUAUGCACGGAUUUGAGACAGAAAUAUCAAAGUCACUCACAUGUGUGAAUCUACACACAUAUCAGUUUAGCACGUGCGAGGUUGCAAAGCGUGAAGAUCCAACACAUCAACACAUCAAUCUCCAGAACAUGCAUCCUUACAGAAAAUCCUGGAUUAGCACUGCCGCAUCAAACUCCAGAACAUGCAGCCGAAUUAGCACGGCCGACGGCCAUCAUCUCUCACGCGAAUUAGCACUGCUGCUCGUCGUUCCCAGCGACCGCACUUCACCAUCUCCAUGCCGCCCUUGCUCACGUGGGCAGAGCCGUCGAGCUUCAGCAUAGACAUAGGAGAUCAGAGGAAGGGGAAGGGAGAGCGUCGCCACCACUUUCGCCCUUGAUGCGCCGCCGCCAUCGCACAUGACCUGCCCCGCAGUACGAGGUCAAGGAUUGAGAUGAUAUGGGGAAAAUAGACCGGGAGCGAGUGAAAGACAUAGGCAGAGAAUGAUUCGGCUACGCGCGCGUCGGGUGGCUGAGUAUAUCCGCCAGAUUUUCGCGGAUGUGUUCAGCCAGGUUUUGGAAGCAUAUUCUAGGAAUCUUGACUGCCCAUAUCCACGCUUGUGUUUCAACCAAACGACUGGCAGCCGCUUUUCAAGUGGCUAUCCCUAACCAGCCGUGGGAUACCUACCAAACCAAAUGCCA